rnacentral:rRNA from 1 species
UACGAAGGGGGCAAGCGUUGUUCGGAAUUACUGGGCGUAAAGGGCGCGUAGGCGGUGCACUAAGUCAGGCGUGAAAGCCCUGGGCUCAACCCGGGAAUUGCGCUUGAUACUGCUGGGCUUGAGCACUGUAGAGGCAGGCGGAAUUCCGGGUGUAGCGGUGGAAUGCGUAGAGAUCCGGAAGAACACCGGUGGCGAAGGCGGCCUGCUGGGCAGUGGCUGACACUGAGGCGCGACAGCGUGGGGAGCAAACAGG